rnacentral:rRNA from 1 species
AACGAACGCUGGCGGCAGGCUUAACACAUGCAAGUCGAGCGCCCCGCAAGGGGAGCGGCAGACGGGUGAGUAACGCGUGGGAACGUACCCUUUGCUACGGAAUAGCUCCGGGAAACUGGAAUUAAUACCGUAUGUGCCCUACGGGGGAAAGAUUUAUCGGCAAAGGAUCGGCCCGCGUUGGAUUAGCUAGUUGGUGGGGUAAUGGCCUACCAAGGCGACGAUCCAUAGCUGGUCUGAGAGGAUGAUCAGCCACAUUGGGACUGAGACACGGCCCAAACUCCUACGGGAGGCAGCAGUGGGGAAUAUCGGACAAUGGGCGCAAGCCUGAUCCAGCCAUGCCGCGUGAGUGAUGAAGGCCUUAGGGUUGUAAAGCUCUUUCACCGGAGAAGAUAAUGACGGUAUCCGGAGAAGAAGCCCCGGCUAACUUCGUGCCAGCCGCCGCGGUAAUAC